ACUUAAAUUGAAGAGUUUGAUCAUGGCUCAGAUUGAACGCUGGCGGCAGGCCUAACACAUGCAAGUCGAGCGGCAGCGGGAAAGUAGCUUGCUACUUUUG
rnacentral:rRNA from 4 species